rnacentral:rRNA from 1 species
GAUGAACGCUGGCGGCGUGCCUAAUACAUGCAAGUCGAGCGAACGGACGAGAAGCUUGCUUCUCUGAUGUUAGCGGCGGACGGGUGAGUAACACGUGGAUAACCUACCUAUAAGACUGGGAUAACUUCGGGAAACCGUAGCUAAUACCGUAUAAUAUUUUGAACCGCAUGGUUCAAAAGUGAAUGACGGUCUUUCUGUCACUUAUAGAUGGAUCCGCGCUGCAUUAGCUAGUUGGUAAGGUAACGGCUUACCAAGGCAACGAUGCAUAGCCGACCUGAGAGGGUGAUCGGCCACACUGGAACUGAGACACGGUCAAGACUCCUACGGGAGGCAGCAGUAGGGAAUCGUCCGCAAUGGGCGAAAGCCUGACGGAGCAACGCCGCGUGAGUGAUGAAGGUCUUCGGAUCGUAAAACUCUGUUAUUAGGGAAGAACAGAUGUGUAAGUAGCUGUGCACAUAGUGACGGUAACUAAUCAGAAAGCCACGGCUAACUACGUG